GUGGGGAAUAUUGCGCAAUGGGGGAAACCCUGACGCAGCAACGCCGCGUGAAGGAAGAAGGCCUUCGGGUUGUAAACUUCUUUGAUUGGGGACGAAGUAAGUGACGGUACCCAAAAAACAAGCCACGGCUAACUACGUGCCAGCAGCCGCGGUAAUACGUAGGUGGCGAGCGUUGUCCGGAAUUACUGGGUGUAAAGGGCGUGUAGGCGGGACUGCAAGUCAGAUGUGAAAGCCCAGGGCUUAACCCUGGAGUUGCAUCUGAAACUGUGGUUCUUGAGUGCUGGAGAGGGAAGCGGAAUUCCUAGUGUAGCGGUGAAAUGCGUAGAUAUUAGGAGGAACACCAGUGGCGAAGGCGGCUUUCUGGACAGUAACUGACGCUGAGGCGCGAAAGCGUGGGGAGCAAACAGGAUUAGAAACCCUAGUAGUCC
rnacentral:rRNA from 1 species